GGCCCAUUAGCUCAGUUGGUUAGAGCGUUGUGCUAAUAACACAAAGGUCGCGGGUUCGAUCCCCACAUGGGCCA
rnacentral:tRNA from 1 species